rnacentral:misc_RNA from 1 species
UUUCCGUAGGUGAACCUGCGGAAGGAUCAUUACAGAGUUCAUGCCCUCACGGGUAGUUCUCCCACCCUUGAAUAUUUAUACCCUAGUUGCUUUGGCAGGCCGUGGAAACACCAUGGGCUCCGGCUUAUGCGUGCCUGCCAGAGGAAACAAACUCUGUUUUUAGUGAUGUCUGAGUACUAUAUAAUAGUUAAAACUUUCAACAACGGAUCUCUUGGUUCUG